rnacentral:rRNA from 1 species
UACGGGGGGGGCAAGCGUUGUUCGGAAUUACUGGGCGUAAAGGGCUCGUAGGUGGCCAACUAAGUCAUGCGUGAAAUCCCUCGGCUUAACCGGGGAACUGCGUCUGAUACUGGUUGGCUUGAGUUUGGGAGAGGGACGCGGAAUUCCAGGUGUAGCGGUGAAAUGCGUAGAUAUCUGGAGGAACACCGGUGACGAAGGCGGCGUCCUGGACCAAUACUGACACUGAGGAGCGAAAGCCAGGGGAGCAAACGGG